UGUUAUUCUAUGUGUUGUUUCUCUCUCUUCAAAAGAAACGCCUAUUUCUCACUCUACCUCCAAACAUCAUGUCUUUUUCUAUUCCUCUUAUUUCUUCCAUGAUGAGGAAGAAAAGACUGCCUGAACGGUCCUUAUGGAAAGCUAACAUUCUCGAGUCUCCGGUUAUCUUAUAGGCUUGCCGCCGAACUUGACAAUAUGAAAACCGCCGUUGGUGCUACUACUGGAUCAUCGACAACCUUUUCGCUGGAAAUUUUCUCGGCAAAAACUGUAUUUUUUGGACUUUACAUGAUCUUUGAAGUGCAAGCCUGUCGUUCUAUUGGCAAUAUGUAGCUGAAAAUUGAAGAUCUAAUGAAAUGCGCCCCUUUUAAUUUUAUUCCCAUGUUUUCUCAGUACCUUUAUUAGUUUUAGUCUUCUGUAGUAUUGAUGUGGUUUGGAUGUGUUUGGAUGGCUAUUUGUCUAGUAGGAAAUGUUAUAUGCUGAAGGUCUGCUAGUUUGGUUGUUCUGAAAUAUGUAAAAUUUCAAGUUAGUAUAGGUUUCUAAUAAUUUGUUUGUAAUAAAAAAUGCUGGCUCACAUAUGUUUGAAACACUGUACCUAGCAUGUGUAUAUUUUUCAAAAUUGUAACUUUGAUAGAACAAGUUUAUAUGUAGUAGUAUAGUUAAUGAGUAGUUUCAUAGUUCAAUUUCAUGUUGUUAGCAUUAGUAGCAAUAUAAUAAUUUUAAGGUUUA